rnacentral:rRNA from 1 species
AUUGAACGCUGGCGGCAGGCCUAACACAUGCAAGUCGAACGGUAGCACAGAGAGCUUGCUCUCGGGUGACGAGUGGCGGACGGGUGAGUAAUGUCUGGGAAACUGCCCGAUGGAGGGGGAUAACUACUGGAAACGGUAGCUAAUACCGCAUAACGUCGCAAGACCAAAGUGGGGGACCUUCGGGCCUCACACCAUCGGAUGUGCCCAGAUGGGAUUAGCUAGUAGGUGGGGUAAUGGCUCACCUAGGCGACGAACCCUAGCUGGUCUGAGAGGAUGACCAGCCACACUGGAACUGAGACACGGUCCAGACUCCUACGGGAGGCAGCAGUGGGGAAUAUUGCACAAUGGGCGCAGGCCUGAUGCAGCCAUGCCGCGUGUAUGAAGAAGGCCUUCGGGUUGUAAAGUACUUUCAGCGGGGAGGAAGGCGGUGAAGUUAAUAACUUCACCGAUUGACGUUACCCGCAGAAGAAGCACCGGCUAACUCCGUGCCAGCCGCCGCGGUAA